AUUGAACGCUGGCGGCAGGCCUAACACAUGCAAGUCGAACGAGUGGCGGACGGGUGAGUAAUGUCUGGGAAACUGCCUGAUGGAGGGGGAUAACUACUGGAAACGGUCGCUAAUACCGCAUACCAUCGAAUGUGCCCAGAUGGGAUUAGCUAGUAGGUGGGGUAAAGGCUCACCUAGGCGACGAUCCCUAGCUGGUCUGAGAGGAUGACCAGCCACACUGGAACUGAGACACGGUCCAGACGCCGACGGGAGGCAGCAGUGGGGAAUAUUGCACAAUGGGCGCAAGCCUGAUGCAGCCAUGCCGCGUGGAUGAAGAAGGCCUUCGGGUUGUAAAGUACUUUCAGCGAGGAGGCGUUACUCGCAGAAGAAGCACCGGCUAACUCCGUGCCAGCAGCCGCGGUAAUAC
rnacentral:rRNA from 1 species